AGAUUCCUGUAUGGAUUCCUAGGAUGGGUGUUAAUCUUGAGUCAAGCAGCUUUUAUUGGCAGGUAGCAUUUUGUGUAAUUUGAUUGCAUUAAAUGUAGAUCAAAGACAGGCUCUGAAGCAUUAUGGACUUGGAUAUAAAUGUCUGUUUAACAGAGAUCUUGGAAUAUUUUUACAUUACAAAACUCAUUAAGAAUAUAGCAUGCAAUUAGUUUUACACUAUAGAUUUUUGAUUUCUAGCAAUUAGAGGGAAAAGCAGAGCCUUUAAAUCGUGCAGAUGGCAUUUUUCUAUUGACUUUAUUGAUAUUUUAAAUUUAAACUCUUUGAGCAUGAAUAAGACUUCUUGGGAAUUCAUUUUCCUAAAGUGCUAAUUCAGUAUUUGAACUAUCUAGUCUCUCUUUGUAUAUAGAAGUAUCGAAGAAGGACUUUCUCCUGUGAUGGAAAAUGAUUUGAAGGAUAGGGAUGUAGUCUGAGGUGAGCUGAUCAAGUCUUGGAAAACUGGUGCAGUCGCAUAUGGUCUGCACUGAAAGAAGAAGAGAUUUACAGUCAGCAUAUGUGCAAUCAACAUAAGGCAAAAUGUGCAGGUUUUUCAAGAUCCUUAAGGAUAGAUUAUACUUCUUCUGCAACCUCUGCCUCAAGUGUAAAACUUCUGAUUUCAUUAAGCCUGUGCUACAAUGAUGGUGGAUGUUCCUUAAAGCUUUUGUGAGAAUGUUUCUGCUGUACCUGCGUUGGCAGAUGACGUGCAUCAUAUUGUAAAGGCUGCUUCGAUUGAUGGAUCCUGCUGUUGCUCUUUGGAGAUCAUGCUACUUAUAGUGCGCUGGUGUUACGCUGGUGAACUGGUCCAAUGUCAAGUUAAACUGAAGAAUGUCACCCCUUAAACCAAGGAGUUCAAACCCUGUUUCCUCUACUGGACCAGAAUUGUACAUCCAAGCUGAAGAACUGUUUCAAAAGAAUGUAGAUAAUUUCAACCUUUUUCCAGCUGUUAAAGACAAUCUGUUCUUAGCUUUUGGAUUGGGUGAUCCUCUGUUUGGCUUAUUUACCGUUCUCUGACAUAAGAUAUGUUAAGUUAGAAUUUGCCUAUGCUAGUGAGAGAAGAGAAAGGAAAGGCAGAUGAUUUAUCAAAAUCGGAUCCUUCUCUUCAAGGGGUAUGAGUGACUGAACAGCAACACAGUCUAAAUACCUGGGAUUGUUUUUGUGUGUGUUGCAGCCUAAUGCUAAGAGCCGAUCUACUGCUAAGUGUAUAAGAGAAUGAGUUCAGUGCCUGUUGUUCCUAGAGGAACUGGAGGUGAGCAGCAGUACUUGCAGGUUUAGAGCUGCUCUUAUCCAGACUAAGGAUUGUGAUGGUGUUGACAGAGGUUCUACUUUGUUUUAUUCUCCUAGCACUGUGCUCAUUGAGGGCUGUGCCUAUAAUGGCAUUCAGACCGGCUUCAUAUGCCAGUUACAAGAAUGUUUUACAGUCCUUGUGGCGUGGCAUUUUAUGUAGCAUGUACUGGGACACAAAUGUGUUAGACCUGGGAAUUGGCUCUUUGCAGGAGUUUGGUUGGCUUUUCACAGGGCCACUGCAGAGCUAUGGCAGUGCCAGGGAUGUCACACAGCAGCCUUGCUCUGGGGCUGGCAGUGUACCCAAGGCCCUAAAGCCCAUUGUGCUACUUGAUGUGGAACUAAGCUGCUUCCCCAAAACUACUCCCAGUUCAUUCCAAAACAUUAUUUCCAGGCUGCUUGGGCAUGGGGUUCAGUAGUGUCCCAGCACAAGGGGGGCUCAGCUGCACACCACAGAGCAUGGGGUGUGUGUAUACAAGGAACACACCUGUACAGCACUUUUUAAAGAAGUAAUAUUUAGCACCUUCUUGCUCCAGUGUGCAUGCUCUCAUGUGAUUUAUGAUGACUGUAAAUAAGGGAAUGGUACGGUUUGGCAUUUUUGUCUUUAUGCAGAAGAAUUAAAGACUUUAAAAAUUCCUGUUA